rnacentral:misc_RNA from 1 species
UACCAAAAUCAACUUUCUGGUUCUAUUCCUCCCGAAAUUGGAAACUUGAAGUCCCUCAACUGGCUAAGCCUUUUUGGAAACUAUCUUUCUGGCCCAAUUCCAAGGUCAUUAGGUGGUCUGACAAGCCUCACCCUACUUCAUCUUUACGAAAAUCAACUCUCCGGCUCCAUUCCUGAAGAGUUGGAAAACUUGACUUCUAUUUUCGAUCUAGACUUGGGUGUAAAUCAACUUAAUGGUUUUAUUCCUUCUUCCUUUGGUAAUUUAGGCGAGUUAAAAAUUUUAAAUCUCCGUGAUAAUGGACUUUCUGGUCGAAUUCCUGAGCAGAUAUCAAAUCUCACAAAGUUGUCCUUUCUUCAACUACAGAACAAUCAGUUGACUGGUUUGUUGCCCCAAAACAUUUGUCAAAAUAAAAUGCUUGAAAACAUUAGUGUCAGUGACAACCAUCUUGAAGGCCCAAUCCCCAAAAGUUUCAAAGACUGUAAAAGUUUAAUAAGAGUUCGCCUUGAUGGAAAUCAUUUAACUGGAAAUAUAUCUGAAGAUUUUGGUGUCUAUCCAAACCUUCAAUUUAUGGAUCUAAGCCACAAUAAAUUUUAUGGUGAAAUAUCAACCAACUGGGGAAGGUGUCCCAAUUUGACCGCACUAUGGAUCGCAAACAGCAAUAUUACCGGUACCAUCCCACGGGAGAUCGGAAAUGCUGCUCAGC